CGUAUUCAAUGGAAGUAUGCUACCAGCUGCCGGUGCUGCCUCUGGACAGGCCGGUCCCCCAGCACGUCCUCAGCCGCCGAGGAGCCAUCAGCUUCAGCUCCAGCUCCGCGCUUUUCGGCUGUCCCAAUCCCCGGCAGCUCUCACAGAGACGUGGAGCUAUUUCCUAUGACAGUUCUGAUCAAACUGCGUUAUACAUUCGUAUGCUAGGAGAUGUCCGCGUAAGGAGCCGAGCAGGAUUUGAAUCAGAAAGAAGAGGCUCUCAUCCAUACAUUGAUUUUCGUAUUUUUCACUCUCAAUCUGAAAUAGAAGUGUCUGUUUCUGCAAGGAAUAUCAGAAGGUUACUAAGUUUCCAGCGGUAUCUUAGAUCCUCACGGUUUUUCCGUGGUACUACAGUUUCCACCUCUCUGAACAUACUAGAUGAUGAUUAUAAUGGACAAGCCAAGUGUAUGCUGGAAAAAGUUGGAAAUUGGAAUUUUGAUAUCUUUCUAUUUGAUAGACUAACAAAUGGAAAUAGUCUAGUAAGUUUAACAUUUCAUUUAUUUAGUCUUCAUGGACUAAUUGAAUACUUCCAUUUAGAUAUGAUGAAACUUCGUAGAUUUUUAGUUAUGAUUCAAGAAGAUUACCACAGUCAGAAUCCUUACCACAAUGCAGUCCAUGCUGCAGACGUUACUCAGGCCAUGCACUGUUACUUAAAAGAACCUAAGCUUGCCAAUUCUAUAACUCCUUGGGAUAUCUUGCUGAGUUUAAUUGCAGCUGCCACUCACGAUCUGGAUCAUCCUGGUGUUAAUCAACCUUUCCUUAUUAAAACUAACCAUUACUUGGCAACAUUAUACAAGAAUACCUCAGUACUGGAAAAUCACCACUGGAGAUCUGCAGUGGGCUUAUUGAGAGAAUCUGGUUUAUUCUCGCAUCUACCAUUAGAAAGCAGGCAACAAAUGGAGACUCAGAUAGGUGCUUUGAUACUAGCCACAGACAUCAGUCGCCAGAAUGAGUACCUGUCUUUGUUUAGGUCCCAUUUGGAUAGAGGUGACUUAUGCCUAGAAGAUUCGAGACAUAGGCAUUUGGUUUUACAGAUGGCUUUGAAAUGUGCUGAUAUUUGUAACCCAUGUCGGACCUGGGAAUUAAGUAAGCAGUGGAGUGAAAAAGUAACAGAGGAAUUCUUCCACCAAGGUGAUAUAGAAAAAAAGUAUCAUUUGAGUGUGAGUCCACUUUGUGAUCGUCAAACUGAAUCCAUCGCCAACAUCCAGAUUGGUUUUAUGACUUACCUAGUGGAGCCUUUAUUUACAGAAUGGGCCAGGUUUUCAGAUACACGCCUAUCUCAGACAAUGCUUGGACAUGUGGGGCUGAAUAAAGCCAGCUGGAAAGGACAGCAGAGAGAACAGUCCAGCAGUGAGGACUCUGAUGCUGCGUUUCAGUUGAACUCACAAUUACCUCAGGAAAAUCGGUUAUCAUAACCCCUGAACCAGUGGGACAAACUGCCUCCUGGAAGUAUUUAGAAAUGUGAAGUGGGGUCUUGAGGCAAAUCUUGAGAAGCCAAAUUGUGAACUGGGUGAGCAUGGAUUCUGAGCAAGGGAAGCAAGUUGCCUCGUGCAUCAUCUCCCUUUGGGGAUACGUCUGCUGUUAUCAUGUCUGUGGACCCGGGUAUCCUCUUCCCUGGAUGAUGCUAGGAUUCUCUGCCAGGAGUUGCUUCUCCACAUUAGCCUCUGUUGGGCAACUCCAUUAGAUAUGUCAUUACUUUUAGCUGUGUUUCAUUUGAGCUUGUCUAGGCUCCAUUCUGCCUGUUUUAUUGCUUAAUUCUUCCUCUGAUUGUCUUACGGUUUAAUAAUCAGUUUCCUAUUUGCACAUUCUCAGGGACACCUCAGUGUUGCUUCCAUCUUUCUGCCUAAACAUAUGAACCCAGUGAAAACUUGUUAUAUUAUGUAAAUGUGGGAGUCACCUUCUAUUGCCGUUUCUUAAAUGUGACAUAUUUAUUCCCUGAACAUUGACAUUUUAGAAAUUUUGCAAGUUAAAUAUUUAGAGGAUCACAUUUUUUAAAGUAAGAAAAUAUUAUUGAACAGAAUGCAAAGUUCACACAAAUUUUCAAGAUAAAGCAAGAGAUUUCAAACUGUUAAGCAUAUAGAGGCUCCUUUGGACUUUUGGUCCAACAUUUUAGUGACAAGGAAAUCUACUUUUGGAGUAAAUUAUCUUUGGAUAGUUUUAAUAAGUCCUAGUUCAACAAUGAUAACUUGUCAAUAUUUGUACUCACUGUAAAUGUGGUUUCUAAUGAUCCUCUUUGUAUAAAGUAAAAACUACAUUUUACGUCUUUGCAAACCUGGGAAAUAUUCUUAUACCUGAGGUACAGGUUAAGAGGUGCUAGUAAUUCCUUCAGGAUUCUGAAAAGGGUCUCUUAAUUUUCCUCAAUGCUUUCUUGGCUUUUAUUAAACUAUUUUCCUAAAAUUUUAAAUUUUCAUACCAGGACUUUCCAUUGUCUUCAAACAUAUAUACAUAUUUUAAUGUAUAUAGUUUAAAUUCCCUUCCAGUACUCUCCGCCAAAUGACAAAAUACAUAAUUGACCAAUAAUAUGAAGUCAUACUGCUUUUAAGGAAAUAUACGUACUAGUGACCAUGUUUGGAAUACUUAGGGUAAAAAUGGACCAGAUUUAAUCAGCAGUCAUUCCUUGCUAAUGAACUCCAGACAGCCUGUGUCAUUUGGAAGACCCUAAGCCCAUGGUGUGUAGGAGGAAUGACCACUACGUGGGGGUGAGCUGACAAAGGACAUAUAUUGGGACACAUCUGUCUUCCUGGUUCCUGUGUUCAAUAUAGGGCUGGUGUAAAUAGGGCCAUCAAUAAAUGUUUGUUAAAUUAAUGUGGAGUUAAUGUGUUCCCUUUUUAGCUAUCAAAUUAACACUAUGAAAUUAUUUUAAAGCUAGUCUAUUUGUGCUGAAGUCAUGUAGUGAGCAAUAUCUGAGUUCCUGGUAUGUUCAGAGCAUAGCACUGGAAAUAAAAGAACACUGAAGAUUACUAACCAUCAUCUGUGCUCAAAAGUGUUUGGGUGACAGCAUAUUUGCAAAG